rnacentral:lncRNA from 1 species
CUGACUCCUUCAAAAGAAGUCACAAUCACUAUAAUUCACAUGGUUUGAAUUAACCACAAGUUUAGAUGCUAUUCAAUGAUUGGUAGAGUUGUUUAACAAUCAAAUUAAGACAAAUAUAGUUGAGGUUACAAUGAAACAAGGUUGUGAUAUCAGGAGAAACAAUAGAACCAUGAACAACAACUCAAUCCCCAAAAAAACUAAAAGAUUCAAAAAGAUGGAAGCAAAGCAAAGCAAACACCAUCAUAGAUAACUCGAC